UUAAACAUGAGAGUUUGAUCCUGGCUCAGGAUGAACGCUGGCGGCGUGCCUAACACAUGCAAGUCGAACGGAGUUAUUAUCGUGAAGUCUUCGGAUGGAUUGAUAAUAACUUAGUGGCGGACGGGUGAGUAACGCGUGGGUAACCUACCUCAUACUGGGGGAUAACAGCUGGAAACGGCUGCUAAAACCGCAUAAGAUCGUAGUACCGCAUGGUGCAGCGAUUAAAUAUUUUAUAGGUGUGAGAU
rnacentral:rRNA from 1 species